rnacentral:rRNA from 1 species
AUUGAACGCUGGCGGCAUGCCUUACACAUGCAAGUCGAACGGUAACGCGGGGGCAACCCUGGCGACGAGUGGCGAACGGGUGAGUAAUGCAUCGGAAACGUGCCCAGUAGUGGGGGGAUAGCUCGGGCGAAAAGCCGGAUUAAUACCGCAUACGACCUACGGGUGAAAGCGGGGGACCGAAAGGCCUCGCGCUAUUGGAGCGGCCGAUGUCGGAUUAGCUUGUUGGUGGGGUAACGGCCUACCAAGGCGACGAUCCGUAGCUGGUCUGAGAGGAUGAUCAGCCACACUGGGACUGAGACACGGCCCAGACUCCUACGGGUGGCUG